rnacentral:rRNA from 1 species
AGCAGCCGCGGUAAUUCCAGCUCCAAUAGCGUAUAUUAAAGUUGUUGCAGUUAAAAAGCUCGUAAUUGAAUUUCGGGAUCAUCAUGUCGGUCGUGCCUCGGUACGUACUGGCAUUGUUGGUUUCUCCCUUCUGAAGAACCAUGAUGUCAUUAAUUUGGUGUCUUGGGGAAUCAGGACUGUUACUUUGAAAAAUUAGAGUGUUUAAAGCAGGCUCGCGCUUGAAUACAUUAGCAUGGAAUAAUGAAUAGGACAUUUGAUUCUAUUUUGUUGGUUUCUAGGAUCGACGUAAUGAUUAAUAGGGAUAGUUGGGGGCAUUAGUAUUCAAUCGUCAGAGGUGAAAUUCUUGGAUUUAUUGAAGACUAACUACUGCGAAAGCAUUUGCCAAGGAUGUUUUU